UCGAGGAUCUCCGGCAAUGGGCGAAAGCCUGACCGAGCGACGCCGCGUGUGCGAUGAAGGCCCUCGGGUUGUAAAGCACUGUCGGGGGGGAGAAAGCCUGGCUCACGCCAGGGUGAUCGACCCCCGGAGGAAGCACGGGCUAAGUUCGUGCCAGCAGCCGCGGUAAGACGAACCGUGCUAACGUUGUUCGGAAUCACUGGGCUUGAAGGGCGCGUAGGCCGCCGGCAGGGUCCGGGGUGAAAGCCCCCAGCUCAACUGGGGAAGGGCCUCGGAAACCGGCCGGCUCGAGGGAGGUAGGGGCGUGCGGAACUUCCGGUGGAGCGGUGAAAUGCGUAGAGAUCGGAAGGAACGCCGGUGGCGAAAGCGGCGCGCUGGACCUCUUCUGACGCUGAGGCGCGAAAGCCAGGGGAGCGAACGG
rnacentral:rRNA from 1 species